AUGGUUUGCGACCUCUGGGUUGGGAUGGGGUUUAAGCCACCCCGGGUGGGGCCAUUCUGGACUAGUUCACUGAUGCUUGUCCCCACUCCAGCCCACAGAUCCUGGGGGGAAGGGGCCAGGGCCACCAUGCCUGGGGCGUGUGGGCUGGGCCUACUGCUGGCGCUGCUGCUGCCGCCCGUGGUCAGCGCCUCCAGGCCGGGUACUGUGUUCAGACUCAACAAGGAAGUGCUGAGCUACGCGGUUGAAGCCGGGAAAGCCCCGCUCCAGAGGGCCCUGCAGGUCACAGUUCCGCUUUUCCUGGACAGGAGUGGAGGGGUCUUCCAGCCCACCAGGAUUCAGAUUCUGAACGUCGAUGUGUCCCACCUCCGCCUGACAUUUGUUGCCGAUUUCGGAAUACGCUUGUUGGCAGCCACUAAUUUUACUUUCAAGAUCUUCCGUGACCCGGAGCCCCUGCACCUGCUGCUCCCCAUAGCACUGCUGGCUGACACCUCCGUGGAACAGGGCUCCAUCGGGACCCCCCUGGUCAGCAUCUCCAGCUGCUUUUCCAUCUUCGACAAAGCCAUCGUGUUUGAUGGCCGCAACAGCACAGCCCCCGCGAUGCUGGCCCCGCUGCAGAGUCACAUCAAAGCUGUGCUGAAGAGCAAGCUGUGCCUGAGAAUCUCCAACCUGGUGCAAGGCCUCAAUGUCCACCUGGGCACUUUAAUUGGCCUCAGCCCUGUGGGUCCAGAGUCCCAGGUCCGCUACACCAUGAUUGACACCCCUACCAUCACCAAUGACUACAUUUCCUUGGAUAUCAACGCUGUUCUCUUCCUGCUGGGCAGACCCAUCGUCCUGCCUGUGGAUUCCACCCCCUUCGUGCUGCCACAGCACAUGGGCACCAAGGGUGCCAUGGCCACCGUGGGCCUCUCCCAGGACCUGUUUGACUCUGUCAUCAUGCUGAUGCAGAAGGCUGGUGCGCUCAACCUGGACAUCACAGCGCAGCUGAAUUCGAGUAACAACCCGUUGAACACCUCUGUGCUGGGCCAGCUCAUCCCCGAGGUGGCCCGUCAGUUCCCCGAGCCCAUGCCCCUGGUGCUCAAGGUGAGGCUGGGUGCUACGCCCACAGUCACGUUCCACACCAACAAUGCCACGCUGCGCCUGCAGCCCUUCGUGGAAGUCCUGGCCCCGUCCUCCAACUCGGCUUUCCAGUACCUCUUCUCCCUCAAUGUGGUAGUGAACCUGAGCCUCCAGCUUUCCGUGUCCAAGGUGAGGCUUCGGGGGACCACAUCUGUGCUGGGGAAUGUCCAGCUCACCGUGGCCUCCUCCAAUCUGGGCUUCAUUGAUACUGACCAAGUCCAGACACUCAUGGGUGAAGUGUUUGAGAAGCCCUUGCUGGACCACCUCAAUGCUCUCUUGGGCAUGGGGAUUGCCCUCCCCCACGUGGUCAAUCUCCAGUACGUCACCCCUGAGGUUUUUAUCCAGGAGGUGAGACCCUUUCAGUGUGACCAGAGGGGCCUCCUUCAUCUUUGGAGGGAGGCUGGACUUGGGGAGGUUGGGGGUCACUUCUCUCCCUCCCUUCCUACUAGAGCACACAGUGGGGUUCAGGGUCAGCCAGGCCUAGGAAUGCCCCCCUGCCCAGACCAUGCAUGA
rnacentral:lncRNA from 1 species